ensembl:lncRNA
GCAUUGCAACCUUAUGCCUCUCAACUUUUUCAAUAGAUGGCACCAACUGUGAAAGAGGAGAGAACAUUACUCCCUAGAAGUCUGGAGUAGCCGGAAGAAGCCGAUUAUAACUCUGAUAUUUCUCUGGAGUGUCUUUGAAAUUGUGCACCAAAGCGGGAGCCUGCGGAUGCUCCCAGUCACAGGGGGAGAAUACAAGAAACAAACAGAUAAACUGCUUUUAAGAAGACUGAGCUGGAAUUCUCUGGUGGAUUGGCAGGUUAAGGAUCCAGCGUUGUCACUGCUCUGGCAGCGGUUUGAUCCCUGGCCUGGGAACCUCUGCAUGCUGCGAACAAGGCCAAAACAAAAGAAGACUGAGUUAUCAUUACAAGUCAUACACAUGUAAGAAGAUAGUAUUUCAAUGUAGUAUAUUCCAAGUCAGUGGACAAUCUUGCUAGUGCAGAAGAGUUCGGAAGAAGAUUUAAACCCUCUAAGCGUCAAUUUCCUCAUUUGUAACACACAGUAAUGAUGCUCACAAGUUUUAUCUCAGAGGGCAUUAUAAAGUUCAAUAAGAUAAAAGAUGCCCAUUUACAAAUAAGAAAUAGCGUCAUUAAGAGAUCAGGGGCAUCUCAGAAUAUUGCAGGCCUUGAAUUCUAAGUUAGGGAAUUUAGAAUCCCUCUGGUAAACUUUAGUUUAAAAAGAUAAGCCCCUUGGUACAAUUUGGUUCAUAUUUUGAGACAGCUGGGAACAUUUUGCCACCAGACAAAAAGGCUAUUUUAAAUGUUUCAGCUCCUUUAAAGAAUAUUAAAAGGAGAAUUGAAGAAACCAGAUAAUUGCUUGCAGAGAUCAAGUGUCAGGACUGCAGUAUUUCCAAAAGAAUGAAGAAGGAGAAUGUGGUUGUAUUUUUUAGUCCUAAGUGACUUGGCAUUAUGCCAAGUGUUGAGACUAGAAUAGAAGUAAAUUUUAAAAGGAGCUUCAAUGUAACUCUUGAUGGGAGGCUAAAAGCAAGUGGCCUCCAGCAUAAUCUGGAAUAAAUUCCAGCAUUAUUAAAUGAACA